rnacentral:rRNA from 1 species
AUGGCGUCCUGGCUGCUCUCACUUCUGACCAAGCAAGCCAAGGGCGUGGUGGAAGGCCCGUCGCGGAACCUCCUGGAGUCGGUGGCGCAGUCGAUCGCCGGCACCACGCUGCUCGAGUUUCCCCAGAUCUCCGCCGUCCGGGUGAAGGUCGGGAAGCCCCACGUCGCGGUGCAGGGCGUCGUCGGCUACCUGGGUGUGGAGAUACUGAGGCGCAGAGAGGCAUGA